rnacentral:tRNA from 8 species
GGCGGAUGUAGCCAAGUGGGUUAAGGCAGU